GUCAAUAGAACAAAUGGUGUAUUCAAUAACAUACACAACAAUUAAUCCAAUAGAAUAACAAACGGUACCGAUUAAAUAACAUAUACAACAAUUAAACCAAUAAAAUGACAAAUGGGAAUAUAUAACAUUCUGACCAAUGCUUAUAUUCCAAAUAUAUGUGUAUAUGCCGCUAUUAUUGUUGUUGUUACCAAUUGUGUAAAUAAAUUGUAUCUGAUUUUAUGCCCUUUAUGGGCCCUGUAAUUUGGGAAAUAAAAAUAUUCUAUUCUAUUUUAUAAGAAAAUACAAAAAAAAAAUCAACCAAUAGAAUAACAUACGGUAUAUAAAACAAAAUACAAACAAAAUCAAUUCAGGAAAAACUCAACAUACACAACAAUUCAAUAAAUAGAACAACAAAUGGUACAUAAAACAACAUACACAACAAUUCAAUAAAUAGAACAACAAAUGGUACAUAAAACAACAUACACA
rnacentral:lncRNA from 1 species